rnacentral:rRNA from 1 species
UACAGAGGGUGCAAGCGUUAAUCGGAAUUACUGGGCGUAAAGCGUGCGUAGACGGUUACAUAAGUCGGGUGUGAAAGCCCCGGGCUCAACCUGGGAAUUGCAUUCGAGACUGCGUAGCUAGGGUGCGGAAGAGGGAAGCGGAAUUUCCGGUGUAGCGGUGAAAUGCGUAGAUAUCGGAAGGAACACCAGUGGUGAAAGCGGCUUCCUGGUCCAGCACCGACGUUCAGGCACGAAAGCGUGGGGAGCAAACAGG